CGUGGUGUCUGGAAAGCAGUCUGUGGCUCCUCUGGACACAUCAGGGCAAAUCCACUCCGCAGAGACACGUUCCCCAAGGAUGACAAGUCCAAGCGAGGCCCAGCCUUGUCUGUGAGUGCACCGAGCAGUCUGGGCUGCCCUGCACAGCUUGAGAGAGCGUCUGUCUGUCCGCAGCGAGGGCAGCGGAAGCCUCCUUUGCUUUCUGGAGCGGCUCUUCGCUCGGAGAGCCGAGGAAGAGCGAGCCAAGAAAAACCCGGUAGAGCCUUUUUGGGCGGAAUCCGAGCAGCCGGAGACGACCCUGAACCACCAUCAGUGAGAGAGGAAUCGUGUUGACCGCAGCGCUUGCUUCCUCUCCAGAAGUCUCAAGGACAAUUGUUUGGAUUUU